UAAACGCGGCCAGCGCCGUGACGGCCAGCAAUGUCGUGAUGCAGCGUGCGGCCUUCGCGCAGAGCAACGCGCGUCAGGUUGCGCUUGGCCGACUCGGUCGCCUUGCGGAUCGCUUCAGGCACUUCGCGCGCCUUGCCGUGGCCGAAACCGACCCGGCCCUUCUGAUCGCCGAUGACGACCAGAGCCGCGAAACCGAAGCGCUUGCCGCCCUUGACGACCUUCGCAACACGAUUGAUGUGGACGAGCUUGUCGACGAACUCGCUGUCGCGCUCUUCCCGAUCCCGACCGCCCCGCUCGCGUCCACCGCGUUCGCGUUCACCUGCCAUGGUGUUU
rnacentral:misc_RNA from 1 species